CCUCGCCGGCUGAGGAGCUGCAGCGCAGCUUGCCUGCCCGGGCCGACGUUCUCCCAUAGCUUCGCGCCGGGGAUCUGCAUUUUCUUCCAAGAUCCUAGCAAAACAGCUGUGACAGCAGUCAAGAAAACUUGAAUAGCCCACAUUUGAGAGAAGGACCCCUGCUCGGCCAUGGAGAACACCUCAAACACACAAUGUCAGAAAAGGGUGUUACUGAACUCAGGUCCAGCUGCUCACCACUCAGAAACCAAGACUUGGGAGAGACAAUUGUGAUAGAAAGGAAAGUUGCUUUUAAUCAGAAUGCUGGCAAUCCGGGGCGACGGUGAACUCAGUGUCUGCAAAAACCAACUCCAAAGAUUCUGUUCAGCCAUGAAAGUUUUAAAGGGAAAAAGGGGGUAUUUUAAAGGGAAAAAUCUCAGUUAAUCACUGAGACAAGGGAUCAGAUUUGUCACCAUCCUCCCUUCCUUUAGGGGUUCUGUUAGACAGAUUACCUCACUAGUGCUGACCCAAGUAAUUCCUGAUUGACUGGUUUAAGAUUCCAUUCCAUUCCUGAGAGAGGCUGAAACUGUAAUUAAGUGAGGUAUUAAGUCUUGGUUUAAUGAUAUGGGACAUAUCAAAAGUGACUCCAUUUUGGGUGUUUUGUCUCUUUUUUAACACUACUGAUCAAUUUCUGCCAGUCCACAUUCUGCCUGCUAGUACCCAUGGAACCCUUCAGUAAUUUGUCUGUGUGUGUCUGAGUGUGUGUGUGUGUAUUUUGCAGCUGUUUUGGGGUUGUUGGAAUCAGUAUAUAGUAGAUGGGGAAAGUAUUAAAGUUAUGCAAUUUGUAUACAGAAAUGAUAAUAUUUUCCGGGCUUCCAGGAAGAAAUACAUAGCUA